rnacentral:rRNA from 1 species
CCUACGGGAGGCAGCAGUAAGGGAUAUUGCACAAUGGACGCAAGUCUGAUGCAGCAACGCCGCGUGCCCGAUGAAGGCCUUCGGGUCGUAAAGGGCUUUUCUGGCUGAAGAAAGAGACUGUAAGCCAGGAAUAAGUGUCGGCUAACUACGUGCCAGCAGCCGCGGUAAAACGUAGGACGCGAGCGUUAUCCGGAGUUACUGGGCGUAAAGCGCGGGCAGGCGGUCUGACAAGUCUGAUGUGAAAUCUCCGGGCUUAACCGGGAGAGGCCAUUGGAAACUGACAGGCUGGAGGGCAGUAGAGGUAGGCGGAAUUCCGGGUGGAGUGGUGAAAUGCGUAGAGAUCCGGAGGAACACCAGAGGCGAAGGCGGCCUACUGGGCUGCACCUGACGCUGAGCCGCGAAAGCCAGGGGAGCGAACGGGAUUAGAAACCCCGGUAGUCCUGGCCGUAAACGAUGUGUGCUGGAUGGUGGGGGGUAAAACCUCCGCUGUCGAAGCUAACGCGAUAAGCACACCGCCUGGGGAGUACGGCCGCAAGGCUAAAACUCAAAGGAAUUGACGGGGGCCCGCACAAGCAGCGGAGCGUGUGGUUUAAUUCGAGGCAACGCGAAGAACCUUACCUGGGCUUGACAUAAUAGUGGUAGGGAACCGAAAGGGGACCGACCUUCGGGAGCUAUUACAGGGUGCUGCAUGGCUGUCCGUCAGCUCGUGCCGUGAGGUG